rnacentral:rRNA from 1 species
GAUGAACGCUGGCGGCGUGCCUAAUACAUGCAAGUCGAGCGAACAGACGAGGAGCUUGCUCCUCUGACGUUAGCGGCGGACGGGUGAGUAACACGUGGAUAACCUACCUAUAAGACUGGGAUAACUUCGGGAAACCGGAGCUAAUACCGGAUAAUAUAUUGAACCGCAUGGUUCAAUAGUGAAAGACGGUUUUGCUGUCACUUAUAGAUGGUUCCUCGCCGCAUUAGCUAGUUGGUAAGGUAACGGCUUACCAAGGCAACGAUGCGUAGCCGACCUGAGAGGGUGAUCGGCCACACUGGAACUGAGACACGGUCCAGACUCCUACGGGAGGCAGCAGUAGGGAAUCUUCCGCAAUGGGCGAAAGCUUGACGGAGCAACGCCGCGUGAGUGAUGAAGGUCUUCGGAUCGUAAAACUCUGUUAUUAGGGAAGAACAAAUGUGUAAGUAACUAUGCACGUCUUGACGGUACCUAAUCAGAAAGCCACGGCUAACUACGUG